UAGGGAAUCUUCGGCAAUGGACGAAAGUCUGACCGAGCAACGCCGCGUGAGUGAAGAAGGUUUUCGGAUCGUAAAACUCUGUUGGUAGAGAAGAACGUUGGUGAGAGUGGAAAGCUCAUCAAGUGACGGUAACUACCCAGAAAGCCACGGCUAACUACGUGCCAG
rnacentral:rRNA from 1 species